AGAAUCAACGCUGGCGGCGUGCCUAACACAUGCAAGUCGCACGAGAAAGGGUAGCAAUACCUGAGUAAAGUGGCGCACGGGUGAGUAACACGUGAAUAAUCUACCUCCGAGUGGGGAAUAACUGAGAGAAAUCUUAGCUAAUACCGCAUAACACUUACGAGUCAAAGCAGUAAUGCGCUUGGAGAGGAGUUCGCGGCAGAUUAGCUAGUUGGCGGGGUAAUGGCCCACCAAGGCGAUGAUCUGUAUCCGGCCUGAGAGGGCGCACGGACACACUGGAACUGAAACACGGUCCAGACUCCUACGGGAGGCAGCAGUGGGGAAUUUUGCGCAAUGGGGGAAACCCUGACGCAGCAACGCCGCGUGGAGGAUGAAAUCCCUUGGGAUGUAAACUCCUUUCGAUAGGGAAGAUAAUGACGGUACCUAUAGAAGAAGCCCCGGCUAACUUCGCGCCAGCAGCCGC
rnacentral:rRNA from 1 species